GCUCCUUUGGCGCAAUGGCAGCGCGUAAGUCUACCAGUAAAACCAAGUUCUUAUUUAAACAUUUAACUAAAAUCUUCGUAGGCAAGACUUCUAAUCUUGAGGCUGCGAGUUCGAGUCUCGCAAGGAGUG